rnacentral:rRNA from 1 species
AUUCCAGCUCCAAUAGCGUAUAUUAAAGUUGUUGCAGUUAAAAAGCUCGUAGUUGGAUUUCUGGUGGGAGCGAUCGGUCUGGCGCUUAGCGCGAGUACUUGCAUCGUCUCCGGCCAUCCUUGGGGAGAGUUUGUCUGGCAUUAAGUUGUCGGGCAGAGGAUCCUCAUCGUUUACUGUGAAAAAAUUAGAGUGUUCAAAGCAGGCUUAUGCCGUUGAAUAUAUUAGCAUGGAAUAAUAAGAUAGGACUUUGGUACUAUUUUGUUGGUUUGCGCACCAAAGUAAUGAUUAAUAGGGACAGUUGGGGGUAUUCGUAUUCCGUUGUCAGAGGUGAAAUUCUUGGACCGUCUGAAGGCUGACUACUGCGAAAGCAUUUGCCAAGAGUGUUUUCAUUA